UCUUAAAUCAUGGCCUGACUGCAGCACUUUGGACACCAAAAGCUCUGAGCUUCGACACACAUUCAACUAUCUUUGAGGCAAAUUACUGGGAUCCUGAUGAUCAGCAUAUAUUCUGCAUAUUCAUGAAGACAGACAAGCGUCUAUUCAGACAGAGCAGCUGCACAUUUACUGCUGGUGAGAGACGGACUCAUCAUGUGGAUCCAGG